CCCUUAGAUGUUCUGGGCGGCCCGCGCACUACAAUGGCGUGUGCAGCGAGUGCCGAAGUAGAGUUUUCCGAGGUAUUCUUGCAAUGCUCGUUUUGAUGGGGAUAGACCCUUGCAACUGUUGGUUUUGAACGAGGAAUUCCUUGUAAGCAUGGUUUAUCAUCCGACGCUGAAUGCGUCCCUGCCCUUUGUACACACCGCCCGUCGCUCCUACCGAUGAGUCGUCCGGUGAAGUUCGUAGACCUCGUGAUCGCGGAUCACUGGGGGAAGCAAAAUGAACCUCGCGGUUUAGAGGAAGGAGAAGUCGUAACA
rnacentral:rRNA from 1 species